UGGGGAAUUUUGGACAAUGGGCGCAAGCCUGAUCCAGCCAUUCCGCGUGAGUGAAGAAAGCCUUCGGGUUGUAAAGCUCUUUCGCAAGGGAAGAAAACUUAGGCUCUAACAUAGCCUGAGGUUGACGGUACCUUGAUAAGAAGCACCGGCUAACUACGUGCCAGCAGCCGCGGUAAUGCGUAGGGUGCGAGCGUUAAUCGGAAUUACUGGGCGUAAAGCGUGCGCAGGCGGUUUUGUAAGCCAGAUGUGAAAUCCCCGAGCUCAACUUGGGAACUGCGUUUGAAACUACAAGACUAGAAUAUGUCAGAGGGGGGUAGAAUUCCACGUGUAGCAGUGAAAUGCGUAGAGAUGUGGAGGAAUACCAAUGGCGAAGGCAGCCCCCUGGGAUAAUAUUGACGCUCAGGCACGAAAGCGUGGGGAGCAAACAG
rnacentral:rRNA from 1 species